UCUCUUGCCAGGGCUCUGGGCUGCGGUGUCAGCUCAGUGGCAGCCUCGUUCCUACCGGCUCGGGCGGGACUGAGGGGACCCAGCCGAACCGCGGGGCCCGCUCCGGCCCGCCCAUGAGCGUGGCCGCAUGAUGCUUCCCUGCCUCGGCCGCUGCAGUCGCUGCCGCCGCCGCCCGGGUGGAGCCGCAGCGGCGGCGGCGGGCGACACCGCCCGGGCCUCGGACCCAUACGCAGAUAAAGGAUGAGCUUGAUCCAGACAACAUGUAUGAAGAUCUCUAUUGAAAUGUCUUGGUUUUCAAUAUACGCCUCUCUUAGUUUUAUGUGAAAUUGCUUUUACAAAAGGAACUUCAGAUAUUUUUGAAGAAAGUGAUUAGUAAAUCUUGAUGGAACCUAUUAUUACUUUUUAACUGAAACUCAUGUUGAUAAUGUAAAAUUAUCAAUAAUUAUGAAUAACAGCAUAUCUUAGAGGAUCUUUCAAAGAAGGAUCUUAGACAUUCAUGUGGGCUGCCGAUCAAAAAGAAAAAAACACAGUAAAUGCACAAGUAGAAGGGUCUCCUGAGAAACAUCAUCAGUUGAAGGCGAUAACAAAAUUUUUUAUCUGGAGUUAUUCGAUGCACAUUGUAGGAAAUAUGUGUUAUUUAUGAUACAAUUUGUUUCAAAGGCCACAAUCACCAAGAAAGUUUCUAGUCCAAAAAUAUGUGUACGAAGAAUAAAGGUGCAACCAGCCAGAUCAGCACAAGUCUUUGUCACACCAUCACAGCAAGAGGAAGAAGAGCUUGAAGGAAGUGAAAAGAACCAGCCAGAGCCACAGGCAUCAUCUCAGAUAGGAACUCAGAUGGAACUCAGUAUUACAUAUCAGGAAUCUGAAAUCUCCACAACAGAAACUUCUGAAGAAGAUUUUGAUGAAACCACAUUUAGAAGAUAUAAGCAACUCUAUCUGAAAGAAUUAAAACAUAGAAAAUCUUCAUCUAGUAAACUAAGCAAGAGAAAUUUGGACACAGAGACAGAUGCACACAGAGGGAAGACAAGGAGGAACGCAGGGAACACGCCACCUGCAAGCCAAGGAAGGCCAGAGGCCAAGAGGGCCUGAGCUAACAGAUCCUCCCUCACAGCCCUCAGAAGGAACCAACCCUGAAGACGCUAUCAUUUGGAUUUCCGGCCUCCAGAACUGUGAGCUAAUAAAUGUCUGAUGUUUAAUCACUCAAUUUGUGGCCCUUUGUCAUGGCAGCCCUGGGAAACUACUUCUUUAAGUAAAUAAGGAGAAUGAGCA